CAUCUUAGACAGCCAUGGAACACCAACAAUGAGGAGCUUGGAGGAAAGGGCAGUGUUUGUUUGCUGCAGGCUGCCUUUGACCUCAGCUCCUGGUGAAUGGCUCCUUGCAGACUCUGGCCCUGACUGCCUGGCUGAAGCAAGGCCCAGCCGAAACACCUGCUGCCUCCUGAGGCUGGGGCAUAAAAGGAGGAUGCUGGCAAGGGCCCAGUGCAUCCAAGAGAGUCAAAGAAGACAUUAAGACCAUGAAGGGGGAGGGGAAGGUGUACUCAGAUGCUGUUUUUAUAUUUCUAUGUUUUAAUAUCUUAAUGUUAAUGGUUUUAAAUUAUAUUUAUAUUUUAUUUGUUUCUAUUGAUUUUUUGUUAUGUUUUAUUUGCAUUGUAUAAUGUGGCAUUGCAUUUUUGUCUAAAUAUAUGUUGUACGCCGCUCUGAGUCCCCUGCAGGGUGAGAAGAGCGGGAUAGAAGUGAAGUAAAUAAAUAAAUAAAUAAAUAA